UGUGAGAUGGAGAGUAAAUGUACUGUAUAUAAAGAUUUUGUGUAGUUCAUGUUUUCAAUGCUAAAACUGAGUGUGUUAAGUGUGAGAAGGUUUUCUUUCUUGCAGGAUGCGUUACUGCCGUAUUACAGAUGAAGGUUGUGCUGCUCUGGCUUCAGCUCUUAGGUCAAACUUCUCAUCACACCUGAGAGAACUGGAUCUGAAAUAUAAUUAUCCAGGAGAAUCAGGAGUGAAGCUGCUCUCUGAUCUACUGAAGGAUCCACACUGUAAACUGGAGACACUACAAAUUAAGGAUUGUAAACUCAUCAGGACUGGCGUAUGACAGGAGUUUCACCUCAAACCUCUUUUCCAGGAUAAAGCAGUUUUGGUGAAGCGUUAGAACCCGUCCCACAUUUCCAGCAGUUUGGGAGCUGAAUCAUUCAUAUUCAGAUGUAGAAGUUGUUAUUUUUAGCUCCAUGUUUUUAUAUAUUUUUUUUAGUGUGUUUCUGCACAACAGGGAUUCAUUCGGUUUGUUGUAACAUGACAGUGAAUUUUUUUCUCCACAGAUGAUGGAUUAAAUCACAACUAUAAAUAAUUUUUUUCUUAUUUUUUGUUAAACUUCUGUUCAUUGUUUGCUGGUGUGUUUUUAAAGGACAGUUCUGGCAUAAAACUAGAAUUUAAUAUAUUAAUUGUCAUGGUGUGGGUGUUCUUGCAAUUAAAUGAGAAGAGACGACAUGCGAGCUGGAUGCUGAAGCCAUGAACUGGCUAACUUUAUUUUCCGAACAACCCACAAGCCAAAAAAAAACUCUGAUCUCUUAAAGGGGAAAACCUUACAAACACCGUAUGUGAAUUCUGUCACAUCUUUAAACAUAAGUCGCCACAAUGGUGUGUAGUAUUCUGUUGCAUGGGAUUGUAUUGCUUACUGUCUGUUUUAGCAGAAUUCAAGCAAAACUAAGUAAUCAUGUAAUCAUGCUAGCAUUACAGUAGCUAAAUGUGUUGUUGCUAACUUAACUUAUUUGACUCAGUUUAAUUUUGAAAGAUGUACAGUUACUCUCUGCUUGCCUCAUGUUUGUCUUCUUGCUGGCAUAGUUCUAAAAUUUAAAUAAAAUUAUUUUAAUUGAAAAUA